UCCUGUGGGACAAGACAGGCGUGAGCUCCUGCAAAGGGGCCCAGAAUGGCGGGGAAGCGUUUCCCGUGGGACAAGACAGGCGUGAGCUCCUGCAAUGGGGCCCAGAAUGGCGGGGGAGCGUUUCCCGUGGGACAAGACAGGCGUGAGCUCCUGCAAAGGGGCCCAGAAUCGUGGGGAAGCGUUUCCUGUGGGACAAGACAGGCGUGAGCUCCUGCAAAGGGGCCCAGAAUGGUGGGGAAGCAGAACUUCUGCCUCCAACUCACUUUCUCACCGUGCAACUGCGGAUCCAGAGGAAUCUCUGCAUGUGAGGCUCUGCCAGGUUGGGGAGGAGUGUGCGCUCAACAUCUCUCUCCACUUUUUACCAUUGCAACAGCUUUUCUUAGCUCUGGGGUCCAGGAGUGUGUCUCAGCCUUAGUCCUGAAUUCUGGGACAUGCACGAUGGUAUUCUUGCCUGUGGAGAGCUGCUAGUUGAAUUUCUGUGGUGGUGAGUGAUGUCAGUGAAGUCCCAUUCUGGUUUCUCUCUGAUGUCACACUGAGAGCACAGUUUUGGUGAGAAGAUUAUCUUUGUGUAAAAGCAAAGAAGAGAGGAAAGAACCUGCGUUUCUCCUCUGCACUAUCCGCUGCGUUUUUCUGUAGAAUUGGGUGUGCCAUUUGCAAGAGCUGUGUGUGUGCAGCAGAGCAGGCAGCCAACCAAUCCUUGCGGUUCAGUGUGAGUUGGGAGGGAGAAAGCGCAAACCACUAAGUGUAGACAACACGCAGGGAGUUCAUUUGGGAAGUUUAGCGAGUGGUGUCCAAAGCAGAGUUGCUCCCUCAGCACUAUGGGCAGUUUGGGCCACACAAUUCUUUGUUGUUGGGGAGAGAAGGCUGUCCUGUGCCUUGUAGGAGGUUUGGCAGCAUCCCUGGCCUGGACACCCCAUGACAGUGGCAACCCCUCCCCUAGCGGUGACAAACAUAAAGGUCUCUAGAUGUUGCUAAAUGUCCUCUGGUGGGGGUGGGAAGGGCAUUGCCCUGUGUGAGGACCGCUGGUAGAGACUGUUGCAGGGUUCAGAAAAGAGAUUUUUGUUUUUCAGUUGGGACAUACAUGAUCAGUCUUGGGGAAGGAAGCAGAAGCAAUGGUGGAAUAGGACAAAGAUAAAGGAAAGAGGUGGAAAGUGAUGAACACAGACCGCGAUGACCCGGUGUGGGGUGAUAUGGGCGAGGACAGCAUCCAGCGAAGAGGUCCUGGCUCCUGACUGCAAUUUGGUGGCUCUACUGUACCCUGUGCAACGGGUAUAGGUUAUUGGGGAACAAGUGGUACUCAAGAUGGAUGAAGGACUUAAAUCCAAGACAAGAAACUAUAAAAAUUCUAAAAGACAACAUUGGAAAAACUCUUCUAGACAUUGGCUUAGGCAAGGAUUUCACGAACAAGAACCCAUAAGCAAACGCAAUAAGAACAAAAAUAAAUAGCUGGGACCUAAUCAAACUAAAGAGCUUUUGCACAGCAAAAGGAACAGUCAGCAGAGUAAACAGACAACACACAGAGUGGGAGAAAAUCUUCACAAUCUAUACAUCUGACAAAGGACUGAUAUCCAGAAUCUACAAUGGACUCAAACAAAUUAGCAAGAAACAAAUAAUCCCAUCAAAAAGUGGGCUAAGGACAUGAAUAGACUUUUAGGUUACUUUUAGGUAUUUGUGUGUGCAGACCUCUUGGUGUCAAGGCUAAACUGUUCCUUUCUCUGACACAUGGGAAAUUGAUGCACAAUACCUUGCAGUGUAUAAUUCCAGGCCCCUAGGCACUGGAGACUGGGUUAUCUUUUCACUCAACUGACAGUUGAUACAUUGUUUGCACUGAAAAAUCUGGCUUUGUUGAACCACACCAGUUUAUGUUUUUAAUUCCAAAUCUUACCUUGUUAUGAACUAUUUUUUUGUCCUUUCCUCUAGAGAAAUGCUAAUGCUGCUUGCUUACAUGGAAAGUAAAGUUAAGGAGUUGGUGUUGACAUUUUGGCUUGCUGUCACAGGCAAAAAAGAAUAGUGCUGUUUUUGUGUGUUUAAUUUUCUUUCACUUUCCCCACUCUGUGUAUUGGAGGAUGCCUUUAGCAAUAAGUAGUCCUUAUCCAGGUCACUCACUCAUUAACCGCCAACCACUGACAGUAAUGUCUUUACUAGAUAUUUUGCUUCUUUUGAUUAAUUUGUCUCUAUUUCCUUUGUUCUAAAGCCUAUAGUGAGUAAUCAUAUUUGGAGUAAUAGCAGAGCUCCCUGCUGUGUUUUCAUUUGCUUAAAUCAAGACUUAGCUGCUGUAUUGAGGAACCAAGACUGAGAUGUGGGGCUAGGAGGGCCUAGGGUCUGUCAGGCACUCUUCAGUGACUUGAGGUGCUGAAUGACUCACACUGUACUGGGAGAUGACCACCUGUGUGCAUCCAACACAGUCACAGAUAGUGCCAUUGAGCCACCAGGAGCAGCCACAGACCAUCAGUGGUUGUGCUUUGGAAUACGCAAUUUUGUGUUUCUGGUGAGCUGUAAUCUUUUCUUUUCCCAUAGAAUUAUUUUUCAUUGAAUUAUGCUAUUAAAACUCAUCUUUGGGUUUCUUGUAACGUCAUUGCCGAGAACGUUAUUUUUGCAUUUCACAGUGAUUUCUUGAGGAGGAAGUAAGAAGUAAUUGUUUUCUGGACUCACUGUCUGAAAAACUUGCACUUUACUGAAGCGAUUGUUUUGUUUACACUAAGUAACAAUAUGAGUUUUGUUAGCUUUUUGGAUGGACUACAAAGCAUAAAACCAACUUUGUUCCUCAUCUCUGGCAAAGAUGGAGGGUUGUUGGCUUGUGUUGUGUGAUGAGUCUUAUACCUGGCUCUGUCUGCUCUUGCCUUUUGCCUUACAUUUCAAAGACCUCACUUUUUUCUUUUCUUUUUUUAAAAAAUAUUUUAUCACAUGAUUUUCUAUACAUUUUAAUAAAAUUUCUUUUUUGUAAAAAAAGCAAAGCAUAAAUAAAAUAGGGUAGCCAUUUCUUCUAAGGUUAUGUUGAAUCUAACCCAAACUCUUAUCAGAGAAAACUCUGCUUUAGAUGUAGCCUAAAGCAGGAAGCAACAAACCUGUAUACAGCCAAAGUAUCAUCUCAAGGGCCUGCAUUCAAAUCUCACACAUGUGGCUUGAAAGUGAUCUCUUUUGCCCUUAUUUCAAGGCCUAAUCUUAGGUUACAUAGUACUUAAAGAAGCUUCAGUAUGCAAUUUCAAAGCCUGUAGUAGAUGUAAAAUGAGAAAAUUAGAAAUAAGGAGAAAAGCUGCUACAUGAGGACACUGACAGCAAGGAAAGGGAGAGAAAAACUCACAAAGUAAGUGGAAAAAUAGACCAAUGCAAAUAACCCCACAUAGUUUAACAGACCUCAUCAUAUCUAUUGUGUACAUGUUUGUAUGACAUAGAUUAUAUCUAUUAUAUGUAAUCCAGUGUUCAUAGUGUUGACUUAGAAAUUAUCAACCAAAUUCAAAGCUUUUAGGCUUUGAAAAUUGUUUGAAAAGAUUUUCACCCAAAAUAUUUAAAUUAUUAAAAAAAAUUAUUGUUGAUUAAAGUUGUAAUCCUCAAUUAAUUAGAAGUUUUGGCUAUCCAGAGACCUUAUAUUCCAAAGACUUUAGAGAGUUGUUUGUUAGAUCACAUAAAUUAUUACCAAUAUCCUACAUUUAAGCUUCUAAUUUACGUAAAUUGUGAGCAAAAUUGAGAGCCACACAAAUAUUCAAUCUCUGAAGCUCUUAUGGCAGCAUUGAUCAAAUAGGUUAGAGAACACAUGGAUACAGCUUUAUUGCCUUCUAGUUUUACUGCAAACGUGUUAUUUAAUAGUAUGCAAAUGAUUGGCUAGAUGUACAGACUGCCAGGGCCUUCAUAGCAAACAGGUUUUGUGUUUACCCUAGCAUACAAAAAUGCUUCAUCUACGAUGUAUGCUGUAACUGUGUGUAUUGUCUACCCUAGCAUGCAAAAAUGCUUCAUCUAAAAUGUAUGCUAUAACUAUGUGUAUUAUAUUAUCUAUAAUUAUAUUUCUCCUUGGUUUAAUAUUAGAUAUUUUCAGGUACAAGAAAUGUAUGCACAUUAUAGAUUCAAUGCAUGUAGGUUAUAUGUGUAAAUAUUUAUUGAUAAGAGGCAUUAAACCCCUGCCUUCUAUGCUGGAUAAACUCCUGAACUUAGCCUCCAAAACACCACAGUAGCCUCCCUGGUAAGCACAGGGCUCUUUCUCUACCCUUUUGUGUCUCCCACGCUCCCACUUGUCUACAAGAGCUGAGUGUAGACCAAGAGCAAUAAAGUUCAUUUCCCCAAAAUAAGGCGUAGCAUUCAGGUUUUGUGAUACCUGAUUGGUUUACAUUGUUUACAGGUGGGGCCUCGAAGGGGUAAAAAUCAGAAGCUUCUUAUUCUGAGCGCAAGGGCAAGAUCAUUGAGCAGACAUUGACCUCCCUUCAGACAUUUCUUGGGAGGAACAGAAUGAGAAUUUCAGGGGCCAGUGCCUGCACCCUACUAGCUGUGGCAGCCUGGUGCUCAUCUACUUCUCCAGCUUGGGAAGGCCUAGGUUAACCCCAGUCUUUGGAGGCAUUGUUAUUCCUCUUCUCUCCCUGCUUCCCCGUGUUUGUGUUCUGGGCCCGGUGUAACACUGAGGUUCAGAAUUGCUUUCAAGAGAGGAGCCCAUUUCUGUGUCUAUGCAAGGCUGGACAAUUUCUCCAAGUGGUUCAGCCUGUGGGGGUUAACGGGGCAAAAGCAUCUCAGCUAGUAAUAAACACUGCUUCGCCUCUUGCUUUUUUAUUUUUAUUUUUGCAAAACUUCUCUGUAGGUGUGUAUUUCUCUAGAGGAUUUCAAAAAUUCUCUGUAGGUGCGUAUUUCUGUAGAGGAAGGAGUGGUGACUGGGCCAGGGUGAAUGGAUUAUUUGAUCUAUAUUAUCUUGAAUUUUAUAUCUUUUAUUUUAAAAUUUGGGUGUUUUUUGAAGUAGGAAAUCAAUGCACAUGGCUGAAUAUCUAAAAAGUGUAAAAGUAUACAUUGAAAAGUCUUCCUCCUAAUCUCGUGAUUGUCUUCGUUUCAGUCCCCAUGGCCACAUCAUGAGGCUACUGAUGUCAUUAGUUUCUUUUGCGUUCUUCUAGGGUUUCUGUUGGCAUAUGCAAGCAACAAUAAAUGUAUACCUUUAUGUUUUCUCUUUUUACAGCAAGGACAGUUUAUUAAACACACUGUUUUAAACCUUAUUUUUUCUCUAAAUAAUAUUUCAUAUAAGUCAGUAUGUAGACUUUAUGUAUUUUUAAAAUGAAGACAUAGCGUUCCACUGAACUUAGACAAUAAUUUACUUAACUAGUCCAAGAUUGAAGAAUAAAAUUAUUUUGAAUCUUUUGUUAAUAGUUAAUAGCUUUGAUGAGUACACUUAUGCAUACAUUAUUUUACACAUGUUCAAGUAUGUUGUAUAAACCCCAAAGUGGGAAUGCUCUGUCAAAUAUUACAGGUAUUUGCAACUUUGAUAGAUACUAAUUGCCCUCGAUAGAGGUAGUAAAAGCUUACACUCCACAGCCUUACUGAUGAUAUAUAUUAUAAAACUUUUAGUUCUUGCCAAUCUAAACGUGAAAAAUGGUAUUUCAUGGUAAUUUAAAUGCUUUUCUCGUUUUAUAACUGAGGUUGACAUCUAUCAAAAAAUUAUUUGAAUUUUUCUGAGAACUAUUAAUCUUUGAAUCCUUUUCUGUUGUUUAUCUUUUCCUUCUUCAUUUCUAAAAGUUCCUAUACAGAGAGAUUCACCCGUUAUCUGUGAUAUGAUUACAAAUGUCUGCCCUCCAAUUUGUUAUAUGUCUUUAGAUCCAAAUACCUUAUUUUUUGCCAUGUAGAAAUUUUUAAUUUGUAUGUGAUAAAAUGUUAAUACUUUAUGGAUUCUGGAUUUUCAGAAAUAAAAAGGUCAUCCUCACUUCCAGGUUUUAAAGAAAUUCUUUAAUGUUAUUUUAUGUUUUUGUAUGG
rnacentral:lncRNA from 1 species